rnacentral:lncRNA from 1 species
UCCGUCUCGUUAGCACAUGAUGUAAGCCAGCCGGACUUCUCGUCAUGAACGAGGGGAAAAAAUAUAUUUCCGUUCGUUCAAACAUGUCAAACGUUGUAUAGCAUAAAUCAUUAGGGCCUUUUUUAACCAGAACAUGAAUAAUAUUCAAGGUGGACGAAUGCAUACUCUUUUAUAACGUAUUGGAACGAGGGUACCCAACAUGAACUCGCGCGCCAGGUGUCUAAUGGGACAUCAUCGUUCCAUGGCUCUUGUUCGGUCAGAUCUCCCUCCAGAAGACUCAAAACACUUUGUAAAGGCUGGUGACAUCUAGUGGAAGCAAUAGGAAGUGCCAAAAUAUUCCUAAACCCCUGUGUUUUUCAAUGGGAUAGGUUUAAAGUCAAUACAACACAUCAGGUAUC